UACGUAGGGUGCAAGCGUUAAUCGGAAUUACUGGGCGUAAAGCGUGCGCAGGCGGUUUUGUAAGUCUGUCGUGAAAUCCCCGGGCUCAACCUGGGAAUUGCGAUGGAGACUGCAAGGCUAGAAUCUGGCAGAGGGGGGUAGAAUUCCACGUGUAGCAGUGAAUGCGUAGAGAUGUGGAGGAACACCGAUGGCGAAAGGCGAGCCCCCUGGGUCAAGAUUGAGCUCAUGCACGAAAGCGUGGGGAGCAAACAGG
rnacentral:rRNA from 1 species